AUACGGAGGAUCCGAGCGUUAUCCGGAUUUAUUGGGUUUCAAGGGUGCGCAGGCGGCCAUUUAAGUCAGCGGUUAAAUCGUGGGGCUCAACCCCAUUCUGCCGUUGAUACUGGGUGGCUUGAUUGCGGUCGGGGUUGGCGGAAUUCGUUGUGUAGCGGCGAAGUGCAUAGAUAUGACGAAGAACACCGAUUGCGUAGGCAGCUGACCAGACCGCAAAUGACGCUCAUGCACGAAAGUGCGGGGAUCGAACAGGAUUAGAUACCCUGGUAGUCCGCACAGUAAACGAUGAAUACUUGUUUUCGGCGAUAUAAUGUCGGAGGCAAAGCGAAAGCGAUAAGUAUUCCACCUGGGGAGUACGCCGGCAACGGUGAAACUCAAAUGAAUUGACGGG
rnacentral:rRNA from 1 species